rnacentral:misc_RNA from 1 species
CCUGCGCCUUCCACUCGCAAUCUGCAGUAAUUGCAUAAGAAAUUCAGCAAUUCUCACUUGAACAGACUCCAUUAGUACUCAUUGAAGAAAAGCCAGGGCGCAUUCACUCUUUAUUUUGUCCCUCAUCAAAAGCCUUAGUGGCGUGUGACAUUUGUAUUGAUUAAGUAUUUUGUAAAAUUGGUAGAAAAUUAUACAUAAUGUUAAAAAUCAACCAAGAAAAAUACAAAACUAGAAAAUGUAAGGCUUCAUUUGGAACAAAUUAUUGCAAGGAAAGAAUUCAAAUGAACUCUCACACAAUCAUACUUGAUUUCUAU